GCUCGAGGUGGGCUACUGGAUCGGUCGCUCCCUCUGGGGCAGGGGCUACAUGACGGAGUCGCUCGGAGCGGUGCUCGAGUAC
rnacentral:tRNA from 2 species